UACGUAGGGUGCAAGCGUUAAUCGGAAUUACUGGGCGUAAAGGGUGCGCAGGCGGUAUUGUAAGCCAGAUGUGAAAUCCCCGGGCUCAACCUGGGAACUGCGUUUGGAACUGCAAUGCUAGAGUGUGUCAGAGGGGGGUGGAAUUCCACGUGUAGCAGUGAAAUGCGUAGAGAUGUGGAGGAACACCGAUGGCGAAGGCAGCCCCCUGGGAUAACACUGACGAUCAGGCACGAAAGCGUGGGGAGCAAACAGG
rnacentral:rRNA from 1 species